UAAUAUCCCCACCAAACCCUUUCUCUUAGUAGUAUAAAAUCUAAGACCAUGUUCAUUGGAAGGGCCUUAACAGUUUCUUAAGGGAAAUCCUCAAAUAAUUUUAACAAAAAAUAAAUAAAAAUUGUGAUUAAAGCUUAGACCAUCUUCAUUGGUGGUUUCUCACUGAGAAAUUCUAAAUAAAAAUAAAUCAAAAACAUUAAAAUAAUAAUUUUUUAAUCAAUUUUGUUCAGGAUCGUUUAUGAAAUGAGAAACUUAGAGAAACUUUCUCUCUCUUCCACAUGUCACCUUGUUAUUAAUUUCUUUUCUUUGUUAUAAAUACAAUCAUCUAUACUUUAUAACAUCAAUUAAAUACUUUAUAUGUCUGUUAUUUUUUUUUAUUUUUUUUACUUUUAAA
rnacentral:sRNA from 1 species